rnacentral:tRNA from 1 species
GCGAAAGCUCAGCGUGGUAGAGCAGCUGGCUGUUAACCAGCUGGUCGCAGGUUCGAGUCCUGCCGACGGCGCU